UACAGAGGUCCCAAGCGUUGUUCGGAUUCACUGGGCGUAAAGGGUGCGUAGGUGGUGAGGUAAGUCGGAUGUGAAAUCUCCAGGCUCAACCUGGAAAUGGCAUUGGAAACUACCUUGCUAGAGGGUUUGAGGGGGGACUGGAAUACUUGGUGUAGCAGUGAAAUGCGUAGAUAUCAAGUGGAACACCAGUGGCGAAGGCGGCUAACUGGUCCAGUACUGACGCUGAGGUGCGAAAGCGUGGGGAGCAAACAGG
rnacentral:rRNA from 1 species